GGAGAAGGGCCAUAGCUCAGGGGAAGAACAUUUGCUUGGCAUGCAGAAGGUCCUUGGUUCAAUCCCUGGCACCUCCA
rnacentral:tRNA from 1 species